UACAGAGGUCUCAAGCGUUGUUCGGAUUCAUUGGGCGUAAAGGGUGCGUAGGCGGCGCGGUAAGUCGGGUGUGAAAUCUCGGGGCUUAACUCCGAAACUGCAUUCGAUACUGCCGCGCUUGAGGACUGGAGAGGAGACUGGAAUUUACGGUGUAGCGGUGAAAUGCGUAGAUAUCGUAAGGAAGACCAGUGGCGAAGGCGGGUCUCUGGACAGUUCCUGACGCUGAGGCACGAAGGCCAGGGGAGCAAACGGG
rnacentral:rRNA from 1 species